GACGAACGCUGGCGGCGUGCUUAACACAUGCAAGUCGAACGGAAAGGCCCUGCUUGCAGGGUACUCGAGUGGCGAACGGGUGAGUAACACGUGGGUGAUCUGCCCUGCACUUCGGGAUAAGCCUGGGAAACUGGGUCUAAUACCGGAUAGGAGCCAUUUUUAGUGUGAUGGUUGGAAAGUUUUUUCGGUGCAGGAUGAGCUCGCGGCCUAUCAGCUUGUUGGUGGGGUAAUGGCCUACCAAGGCGGCGACGGGUAGCCGGCCUGAGAGGGUGGACGGCCACAUUGGGACUGAGAUACGGCCCAGACUCCUACGGGAGGCAGCAGUGGGGAAUAUUGCACAAUGGGCGCAAGCCUGAUGCAGCGACGCCGCGUGGGGGAGGACGGCCUUCGGGUUGUAAACUCCUUUCGCUAGGGACGAAGCUUUUUGUGACGGUACCUAGAUAAGAAGCACCGGCUAACUACGUG
rnacentral:rRNA from 1 species